CAGGCACGGUAUGGGCGGCUUGGCCAUA
rnacentral:piRNA from 1 species